GCUGAAACGAGGACGGCCAGCGUCACAGCACGUCACGCUGGCGGAGAGGCACAGCGCUUCGGCCGUUAGACAUCACCCCCCACACCACACUGCCCCGCGGCCAGAGAUCAGAGCGGCGACUCAAGGCACGCAGGCGAGGGGCAGAGCGAAGCCCAGAGGCCCAGUCCCCACUUCUGGACCCACGACACCCUCCAGGACGCAUCGGGCGGCUGAAAAUCAGAGUCUAAUCAGCCUCCCCGCGUCAGCGAGCACCGCUUGCGCCCCAAGAAAGGAAAGCACUUUGCUCCUGUCAUACCCACUACCAUUUCUCAGGAAGGAAAAAACAGCAACAUAUACUGGACGACACCGCUUCCGUUAAAGCUGCUUACGCUAGAAGGAGGCGGAGAGAGCGCGUAGAGGCAUCCGCGUGCCUAUGCGCUAAAUCCCUCUAGAAGGAGACGCUGGAAGCUGUGGACACAGGUUGUCUUCCCGGGGAAAAACCGCGUGGCGUGGCUAGGAGGGCAGAGGCAGAGAGCAGCCUUUUCACCAUACAUUCUACCCACUGUUGGGAUUCUAAAGGAAAAUGUGAAUUUUAAAUAAGCAAGUAAGGGAGAACGUUUUUUAGAAGUCACUCUACAGAAGAACCCUAAUGUUCUUUACAAUCCUGCAGGAGAAGCCAGAACGGCCUACGUGGGGAAUUCCCCUUACAGGUUUUAAACAAAGAGCUUCUCAUUUUAACAUCUGUAAUGUUGACUGAGGUUAAGGUCUGCGAGUACCAGUUCUCAACUUGUCACUAACAACUCCCGUGGUUUCUCCUAUGGACCCCGUGUUUAAAAAGACUCUACCGAAACAAUGGCACUGUUACGGUCACAAGAGCACACUUGCUCAUUUGUAUUCAUCAGUGACUGAUAGAAUAUUCAGAGAGACCUUUCGAUCAGCAUGGAGUAACUGCUUUAUCACUAUGAGAUGAUGUCAUUCGAGGCAAAAUCAAAAGAAACUGGGCAAUGCUGUCAGCAGACGCAGCCUUAUUAGCUGAAAAUAUGUGGUGCUUCCAAAUACUAAAGAGUGACUCACAUACCCCAUUACUAUCUGCAUAGAGCCCGAAGGGCCUGGGAAGCAGUAAUUACCUAACAUUUAAAAGGAAUCUGGCUCUAAAAAAGAGGGGAGGGAGGGAAGGAAGGAAGGAAGGAAAGAGGGAAGGGUUGGAGGGUCAGUGGGUGGGUCCAGCUCUAAAUGCAGCCAUCAAUUGACAGGAAAUACAGAGGACAGAGGAUCGUGUUAAAUGGCACCACAGGGAUACAUUCAGCAAACUCCAGACUGGAGAAUUCUAUAGGGUAACCAAUGUGAUUUCUCUUCUUUUUGUUUUUAUUUUUUAAAGAUUUUAUUUUUACAUAGUCUCUGCCCAACCGACUGAGCCAGCCAGGCGCCCCUCGUUUCUUUGUUUCACAAAUAAAGCUGGAUGACUUC